CCCCCGCAGCCUGUGCUUCCCGCCAGGUCCUUCGUGCCUGCCUGGAGGGCUUCUGGCUGCCCAGGGGCUGAGGCCGUGCCUCUUCCGGCAGCGGGGCGUGAUCCUCUUGAUCCUGCCGCCCCCCAAGGGGGAGCGCCCUUCCGCAAGAGAAGAGGGCGUUCUGCUGGCGGCGGUGGUGGACUGCUGAAUUCAUAUAAGGAGAACACACAGGUUUCUAGGAAGUGUGGAAUUUACAGGACAGCUGAGCUCAUAAUAAUCGGGGGAAUUUUUCUCAGAUUUUUGUCCUUGAGCUGCUUAACUUAUCCCUAACUCAAGAUGCAUCCAGACUUGUCUCCUCAUCUGCACACUGAAGAAUGUAACCUAGUUAUCAGUCUGCUCAAGAAGUGUCACAAAGAGCACAACAUUUUGAAAUUUUUUGGCCAUUGCAAUGACAUUGACCGUGAGAUGCGGAAGUGUUUAAAGAAAGAGUAUGAAGAAAACAGGGCCAAGAACCAGGCACAUACUGCAGAGAUGCGACGGAGGCUAAUUAACGCUCAGAAAAACUCUGAGAAGUGAGCUGUACUGUAGUUGGGUAGCUGCAUAUCAAUAUGGGCACUCAGUUGAAAGUUGACAAUAUUUCUUUCAGAUCACCAUUGUUCGACUUGUGAAGUGAUGGCAAAAUAAGAAUACCUAAAACAUACUCAUUCCCAGAAAGGCAAACUAAAUGUGUGGAAAGGGGGGGUGGGAGAAGUGGGGGAGGGAAGAUUACUCACAACUUAAUUUUUGAAUUCUAAAUGAAAAUUAUUGUGGCAACUCUUUGUCCUGGCAUUGUUUUGUUGACUGUUAAGUAAUGCUGAAUCAAUCUAUGUAUUCAAGGCUGUUGCAUUCCCUACCUUGUGUUGAGCAGCAUUUGUUUCUUCAUGUUUAGCAGUUGCUCUUUCAUCUCUUGCGGAUUUUUUCCUCGCAAAACAUUGAAUGAGUCUUCCUUCACUCUUUGCAGUGUUGUGAUAACACUGCCUAAAUGAAUUAUCAAAACCAUUUUAAACAGAAGUGUCCUGAACUUGGAAAUUGCCUACGAAGCAAUAAAUGGAGUUCUAGUACUUUUAUUCGAGCCCA
rnacentral:lncRNA from 1 species